rnacentral:rRNA from 1 species
UACGUAGGCGGAAAAUUAAGUCAGUAGUGAAAUCCUGCAGCUUAACUGUAGAACUGUUAUUGAUACUGGUUUUCUUGAAUAUAGUUGAGGUAGGCGGAAUGUGUAAUGUAGCGGUGAAAUGCUUAGAUAUUACACAGAACACCGAUUGCGAAGGCAGCUUACUAAGCUAUGAUUGACGCUGAGGUACGAAAGCGUGGGGAGCGAACAGGAUUAGAUACCCUUGGUAGUCC